UUACCGCGGCUGCUGGCACGUAGUUAGCCGUGGCUUAUUCCUACGGUACCGUCAAUGUCCUCCGCAGAGGCCUUUUCUUCCCGUAUAAAAGCAGUUUACAACCCAGAGGGCCGUCUUCCUGCACGCGGCAUGGCUGGUUCAGGCUCUCGCCCAUUGACCAAUAUUCCCUACUGCUGCCUCCCGUAGGAGUCUGGUCCGUAUCUCAGUACCAGUGUGGGGGUUACUCCUCUCAGAGCCCCUAAGGAUCGUCGCCUUGGUGAGCCGUUACCUCACCAACUAGCUAAUCCUACGCAUGCCUAUCCCUAUCCAAUAAAUCUUUCAAUAUCCGACCAUGCAGCCAAAUAUAUUAUGCGGUAUUAAUCCAAAUUUCUCUGGGCUAUCCCCCUGAUAAAGGUAAGUUGCAUACGCGUUACGCACCCGUUCGCCGGUCUCGGAAAGUACAAGUACUCUCCUACCCCUCGACUUGCAUGUAUUAAGCCUGCCGCUAGCGUUCAUCCUGAGCCAUGAUCAAACUC
rnacentral:rRNA from 1 species